GAUGAAGAACGUAGCGAAAUGCGAUAAGUAAUGCGAAUUGCAGAAUUUCCGUGAGUCAUCGAAUCUUUGAACGCACAUUGCGCCCACUGGUAUUCCGGUGGGCAUGCCUGUUCGAGCGUCAUUAUCCUCCCUCAAACCCCGGGUUUGGUGUUGGACCCAAGUUGUGUGAACAACUGGUCUCAAAGACAAUGACGGCGUCCGUGGGACCCUCGGUGCAACGAGCUUUUAGGAGCACGCAUCGAGUUGCAAGGACCUUCCGGGCCGGUCUCCUUACCAUUUUACAAGGUUGACCUCGGAUCAGGUAGGAAUACCCGCUGAACUUAAGCAUAUCAAUAAGCGGAGGA
rnacentral:misc_RNA from 1 species